rnacentral:rRNA from 1 species
UACGGGGGGGGGCAAGCGUUGUUCGGAAUUACUGGGCGUAAAGGGCUCGUAGGCGGCCAACUAAGUCAGACGUGAAAUCCCUCGGCUUAACCGGGGAACUGCGUCUGAUACUGGAUGGCUUGAGUUUGGGAGAGGGAUGCGGAAUUCCAGGUGUAGCGGUGAAAUGCGUAGAUAUCUGGAGGAACACCGGUGGCGAAGGCGGCGAUCUGGCCCAACAUUGACACUCAGACCCGAAAGUGCGGGGAUCAAACAGG